rnacentral:rRNA from 1 species
CAAUAGCGUAUAUUAAUGUUGUUGCAGUUAAAAAGCUCGUAGUUGGAUUUCUGACAGGAGCGACCGGUCCGAUCAUUUGGUCGUGUACUUUGUGUUGUCUCUAGUCAUCCUUAUGGAGAACGCUUGUGGCAUUAAGUUGUCGCGAGUGGGAACCAUAUCGUUUACUGUGAAAAAAUUAGAGUGUUUAAAGCAGGCAAUUGCUGUGAAUACGUUAGCAUGGAAUAAUAAGAUAGGACUUUGGUACUAUUUUGUUGGUUUACAUACCAAGGUAAUGAUUAAGAGGGACAGUUGGGGGUAUUCGUAUUUAAUUGUCAGAGGUGAAAUUCUUGGAUUUACGGAAGACGAACUACUGCGAAAGCAUUUACCAAGGAUGUUUUCAUUAA